UACGUAGGGACCAAGCGUUGUCCGGAAUUCAUUGGGCGUAAAGAGCGUGUAGGCGGCUUGUUAAGUCUUGCGUGAAAUCUCGGGCUCAACCCGAGCGGUCGUGAGAAACUGGCAGGCUAGAGUGCGGGAGAGGAGAGUGGAAUUCUGGUGUAGCGGUGAAAUGCGCAGAUAUCAGGAAGAACACCCGUGGCGAAGGCGGCUCUCUGGAACGCA
rnacentral:rRNA from 1 species